UGCAAGAAAGAUCCCUGCUCAUUUCGUUUGGCAGAAGGAAUCAGCCCCUCGCUACGUGGCGUGGGGGUGGGCCUGGCUGGAGUCAGUGUUUUACCUGGGCAAGGCUGGAAAUGUUGGACAGCGAUCAGUUUUCCAAGCGCCAAGAGCUACAGGGAAAAUGGAGCAGCGUGAAAAAUAUGAUCCAGAUGUCGGUACUCCGAGUUCCUCGAACACCAACAAUGCUAACUCGAUCGUCAUCUUAAAAUUACAAGAAAAAUCGACCCAUAUUUGGAGAGUGCGGAGCAGCACCCUUGCACUUGCGGUUACUUCACCGGGGCAAGGGCCAGGGCUUCAUUUUGACCAUAAUGUGCACUUCUGGCUAAUGGGAGCACAAUGGAAAACGCCCUGUUUUCCUGCUGAUCACUGUCAUUCCACACCUAAUUAACACGUUUCCAUGACAAGUUAAGCCUCUCCAUUGUUACAGCACAAACAGGAGGAGACUUGCCGAAAUUAAAGCGGAAGCCGCCUUUCACCUGUGGAAUCCGCCUCCCCGUGAGCAGCUGGGGAGCUGAAAACAGGCCGGGCCACUCACCUGUUCGCUACGCCCUGCAUGUGGGGCUACGCAGCCAGAAUGAGGGCGCGCCACAACCCCCCCGGGCUAACUCCCCUCCCAGGAGCAAAGACUGUCCAGGGGCUUCAACCUUGGGGGCGGGUUUCUGCCCCCCGGCCCAGCAGCCCUAGGAGCCGGGGGUGGGGAGCUGGAGGGGAGCUGCAGCCCUGCGAGCUGACAGGACUGCAGCCUGGGGGCCUAUGAGGAGGAGACUAAUAUUCUCUUCGUGGGGCACUUUAUUCCCCAACACCUUGGCUUGGCUCGGCUCCCGCGGGAAGCACAGAGGUGGCCCGAGAAGCUCCAGCCUUGGCCGAGGCCGUUCCCAGCAGCACAGGGCCAUGAGAGCACGGCCCCUUGUCCUGGGGGCCGGGCGCGGGGCUGAGGUCUGACACCCCUCCGCCCCCAGUCUCUGGAGCGGCGGCCCCUCCUCUGGCAGCACUGGGGCUGCCCCGCAGGGUCACAGCGGCCCGGGCUCCCACGAGGCAGCGGGCUCCCGCUCCGGCUGAUGACAAAGGGGCUCCUGCCUGACCACUGCAGCUCCCAUUAACACCGCGCCCUCUGGGGACCUUCCACUGCACGGUGCCCUGCUGCCUGGCCUCGCUGCAAGCAGAGGGGUCCCCUCCCCGCACGAACUCGCCUGUUUACAGCAACGCCUUGCGGCCCCGAACUUCCCACAACUUUCCCUGAGGCGGGGCAAGGCGCGGUCUGCUCGCAUCCUGCAGGGUCGGGCCCCGUCUAGCACCCCACCCCAGGGCGGGGCGGGGACUCCCAGACAUGACGGGCCCCAGCCCACACCCCUCCCCGGUGGGGGGGCUGCAGAACUCGGGGCGGGGAGCCAGCGGGAGACUCGGCCUUUGGCCCAGCAGCGCCAGUGCCACAGGCAUUGUUCAUUCCCCCUCCUCCAUGCGGUCCGCUCUCGAGCGGGCGAUGACCUCGGGGCUGGCGAGUCCCCAGGCCCCCUGCUCCCAGCACGGAGCCGAGUUACUCCCAGCCCAGAGUUCACGUAGCGAGAGCGCCUCCGCAGCCUGCAGAGCCCCUGCCUCGCAGGGGAGCUGCCUUUAACGUUGCGGGUUAAGCAAA